UACGAAGGGGGCUAGCGUUACUCGGAUUGACUGGGCGUAAAGGGGCGCGUAGGCGGAUGGUACAGUCAGACGUGAAAUUCCUGGGCUCAACCUGGGGGCUGCGUUUGAUACGUGCUGUCUGGAGUUCGGAAGAGGGUCGUGGAAUUCCCAGUGUAGAGGUGAAAUUCGUAGAUAUUGGGAAGAACACCGGUGGCGAAGGCGGCGACCUGGUCCGAUACUGACGCUGAGGCGCGAAAGCGUGGGGAGCAAACAGG
rnacentral:rRNA from 1 species